UCGAAUGCAAAGUAUCUGAUGUCAAACGGUUGAAUUAAACUUUCAUUCACAGCAAGAAUUCCGUCUGUCGAAUCAUCGACAGGAAUUUCAACUUUGUCACUACUUCCAUCGCAUUCAUAUUCAUCAUCCUUUCUCUUCCGCCCUUUCUGCAACUGAAACUACUAUUUAGAAAUCCCCUGCUUCGGUAGUCGUAGAACAGAGUAAUACUAUCACAAGUUUCAGAAGAAUUAAAAACAUUAGGUUAUCAAAAUCU
rnacentral:lncRNA from 1 species